UACGGAGGGGGCUAGCGUUGUUCGGAAUUAUUGGGCGUAAAGGGUGCGUAGGCGGUCUGAUAAGUCAUCUGUGAAAUCUAUGGGCUCAACCCAUAGUCUGCAGGCGAAACUGUCGGGCUUGAGUAUGGGAGAGGUGAGUGGAAUUUCCGGUGUAGCGGUGAAAUGCGUAGAUAUCGGAAGGAACACCUGUGGUGAAAGCGGCUCACUGGACCAUAACUGACGCUGAUGCACGAAAGCUGGGGGAGCAAACAGG
rnacentral:rRNA from 1 species